ensembl:lncRNA
UAUUCUAUUAUACUAGCCUAUUUAGAGCAUAUGGUUGUUACUAAGAUGGAUGCACACAAGUUAAUGUUAUUCAAUUGUUUCAACGUUGCACAUGUAUGUGGGCUGUUGGACCAUGGAGGUUUCCUACAGUGCUUCCUCAGAUUUUGAUCAUACUGGAGCCAAAUGGAUGACCUUAAAUUCAUCAGACUUCGUUUCAUAAGUCUUUAACUCCCCAAAACAGGUGAGACUGAGUGUGUUCUUAGCACAACUGGCUGCCAUUCACACGGUGCAUGUGAUGACUGAUCUUUUUUCCCCAGCAGAUCGAUAGUGUUGACAUUUGCUCUAAACUUUAAGCCAAUUUCUCUGAAGCACCAUUAGAAUCGCUUUGCAUACAUAGUGGUACUUUUCUUGUUCUGAAGUCCUUUUUUAUGUCUUUCCAAAAAAAGGAGAAUUCUGUAAUUCAAGAGGACCACACAAUGAGAGACCCUUGACGAAUGGCCACAUGUGAAGGUAUUUAUUUUUUUCCAAGAGUGUAUUUUAUUUUUCCCAUUCUCCAGCUUAAAUGUGAAGUAAAAUCUAAUGGUUUCUUCCUUUUCUAGGUGUUUGAGCGACCUGUGUUCCUGAAUGCCCUUCAGUGCCAAGCCCACGUGGAGCAGUGGAUGACAUACACGAGGGGUUUUCUCAAAGCAGACUAGUGUUUACCAGCCAUAGGAGAGGAAAUACCUUCUGAGAGUAUUAAAGUUGCUAUUACUUUGACCUACUAGUGUUCCAACGUGCUUUUUGAGGCAUUCAAGUUUGUUCAACUUUAAUUUCUCAGAAUGCUUUCACUAAUUAUUGCUUGUAACUUGUUGGUUCUAUGCUUGUGUAAAUGGUCUUUCAGCAGGCAGUUACCUCUUUUACUGUUUCAAUAAAACUAGUUAAUGACUUUGCA